rnacentral:misc_RNA from 1 species
UCCGAGUUGACCCCGGCAGUCUCCCAUGAGUCCCCGGCAUAACCCGCUGGCAACAUGGAACGAGGGUUGCGCUCGUUGCGGGACUUAACCCAACAUCUCACGACACGAGCUGACGACAACCAUGCACCACCUGUGCAGGACCCUUGCGGACCCGACGUUUCUGCCGGAUUUCCCUGCAUGUCAAGCCUUGGUAAGGUUCUUCGCGUUGCAUCGAAUUAAGCCACAUGCUCCGCUGCUUGUGCGGGCCCCCGUCAAUUCCUUUGAGUUUUAGCCUUGCGGCCGUAGUCCCCAGGCGGUGCACUUAAUGCGUUAGCUACGGCGCGGAAAACGUGGAAUGUCCCCCACACCUAGUGCCCAACGUUUACGGCAUGGACUAC